rnacentral:rRNA from 1 species
UACGAAGGGGGCUAGCGUUGCUCGGAAUCACUGGGCGUAAAGGGUGCGUAGGCGGGGCUUUAAGUCAGGGGUGAAAUCCUGGAGCUCAACUCCAGAACUGCCUUUGAUACUGGAGAGCUUGAGUCCGGAAGAGGUGAGUGGAACUCCGAGUGUAGAGGUGAAAUUCGUAGAUAUUCGGAAGAACACCAGUGGCGAAGGCGGCUCACUGGUCCGGUACUGACGCUGAGGUGCGAAAGCGUGGGGAGCAAACAGG